rnacentral:rRNA from 1 species
UACGUAGGGUGCAAGCGUUGUCCGGAAUUAUUGGGCGUAAAGAGCUCGUAGGCGGUCUGUCGCGUCGGCUGUGAAAACACGGGGCUCAACUCCGUGCCUGCAGUCGAUACGGGCAGACUAGAGUUCGGUAGGGGAGACUGGAAUUCCUGGUGUAGCGGUGAAAUGCGCAGAUAUCAGGAGGAACACCGUGGCGAAGGCGGGUCUCUGGGCCGAACUGAGCUCGAGGCACGAAAGCGUGGGGAGCAAACAGGG